UACGAAGGGGGCUAGCGUUGCUCGGAAUUACUGGGCGUAAAGCGCACGUAGGCGGCUUUGUAAGUAAGAGGUGAAAGCCCAGAGCUCAACUCUGGAAUUGCCUUUUAGACUGCAUCGCUUGAAUCAUGGAGAGGUCAGUGGAAUUCCGAGUGUAGAGGUGAAAUUCGUAGAUAUUCGGAAGAACACCAGUGGCGAAGGCGGCUGACUGGACAUGUACUGACGCUCAUGCACGAAAGCGUGGGGAGCAAACAGG
rnacentral:rRNA from 1 species